AUUGAACGCUGGCGGCAUGCCUAACACAUGCAAGUCGAACGAGUGGCGGACUGGUGAGCAAUUUAUGGGAAACUGCCUGACGUAGGGGUAUAACUACUGGAACCCGUAGCUAAUACCGCAUACCAUCGGUUGUGUCCACAUGGGAUUAUCUAGUAGUUGGGGUAAAGGUGCAUCUAGGCGACGAUCCCUAGCUGGUCUGAGAGGCAGACCGGCCACACUGGAACUGAGACACGGUCCAGACUCCUACGGGAGGCAGCAGUGGGGAAUCUUGCACAAUGGGCGCAAGCCUGAUGCAGCAAUGCCGCGUGUAUGAAGAAGGCCUUCGGGUUGUAAAAUACUUUCAUCAGGGAGGCGGUACCCACAGAAGAAGCAACGGCUAACUCCGUGCCAGCAGCCGCGGUAAUAC
rnacentral:rRNA from 1 species